rnacentral:rRNA from 1 species
AUUGAACGCUGGCGGCAGGCCUAACACAUGCAAGUCGAACGAGUGGCGGACUGGUGAGUAAUUUCUGGGAAACUGCCUGAUGGAGGGGGAUAACUACUGUAAACGGUAGCUAAUACCGCAUACCAUCAUCUGUGCCCUGCUUGGAUUAGCUAGUCGGUGGGGUAAAGGCUCACCUAGGCGACGAUCCCUAGCUGGUCUGAGAGGAUGACCAGCCACACUGGAACUGAGACACGGUCCAGACUCCUACGGGAGGCAGCAGUGGGGAAUAUUGGACAAUGGGCGAAAGCCUGACGCAGCCAUGCCGCGUGAGUGAAGAAGGCCUUCGGGUUGUAAAGUACUUUUGGCGGAGAGGCGGUACCCAAAGAAGAAGCACCGGCUAACUACGUGCCAGCAGCCGCGGUAAUUC